rnacentral:rRNA from 1 species
AAGAAAAGUGUUGAGUCCAGGCGCAUUAUGGUACGAUUGAGACUGAGUUGGGCAGGAGCAAGCGGUUGGAUUGGCCUGACUCUUCAAGACCAAAGAUACUCGGCUUCCUCUCGUGGUAGGAAAAAAAUGCAGUUUUUUUUUCAUUUCCGAGAGGCACAGCCGUGCAUCUCGCGAAAGCAAACACGUGCCUUUUGUGGAAACUAUAAAUAUAAUAAUGCAUUGUCCCCUCCGGCAGCCGUGCAUCCUGUAAACGAGGCCUGGCUCGUAAAAUUUCCACACGCAGGCUGUAAACCGACCGUGUUUCCGAUAUAUAUGUGA